CACCUACGAUUCCAACCUCAACACCCUCCUCUCUACCCUCUCCUCUGCCGCCACCAACAGCACCGACGGCUUUGCCAACGCCACCACCGGCCAGAACCCUCCCGACCGAGCCUAUGGGCUCUUUCUCUGCCGCGGCGACGUCAACACCUCCACGUGCAACGACUGCGUGGCCACUGCAAAACGUGGUAUCCGCCGAAGAUGCCCGAACCAGCGAUUCGCCGUGAUCUGGUAUGACGAGUGCAUGUUGCGGUACGACAACAGGUCCAUCUUCUCGGCCAUGGAUCUGAGGCCUACUCUCAUGAUGCAAAACGUUGCGAACAUCACCGAUCCGACCGGGUUCGCGCAAGUCCUGGCAAAGACCGUGGAUAAAAUCGCCACAAGGGCUUCCAACGGGGGGUCGGGUAAGAAAUUCGCAGUCGAGGAGGUGAAUUUGACGAACUUGCGGAAGCUGUUCACCCUCGCGCAGUGCACGCCGGACUUGACGGCGUUGGACUGCAACAGGUGCCUUCGGGCGAUGAUCUCGAACCUCCCCAAGGGGAGGCAAGGUGGGAGGAGCUACACUUUGAGCUGCAGCGUCAGGUUCGAGGUGUACCCAUUUUAUGACGUGGCGGCCCCGGCGCCAUCCCCGUCCCAUCUUCCGCCUUCUCCCGCUGCCGCUCCCGAUCCCGAGAUCAGACCUAAAGGUAAGUGUUUGAUUUUAUUAUUUGUCUUCCUCCAUACAAGAAAUAUCUGGUCUAUUUAAUUUUUUGGUAAUAUGGUUAUUCUACUUAAUGGCUUAAAUUCUAAGAUUCAACUUUUUUUUUUAACAAAAAUAAUAUGUGAAGUGCUGUCAAUGGUUGAUACGUAUCUGUGAUAUAUCAAGUUUUGGGAUGUAUUCUAGGGGCUUUCCUGAGUUUCAGUCUCCUUCACUGUCCUCUUAAUUUGAUCGGUGAUGUAAAUUUUGAAUAAAUUCUGCUUUUGACAUAUUUACCUAUUGUAUAUUUGUGGCUCGCACAUUUUCUGGUCUUAGUGUAGUCUGGUCCUUUUUUUUUUUCUUUUUUCUUUUUAAUUUGAGUUAUGCAUAGAGAUGUCAAAAUGAAUCAAUGGCCUGUUUUUUAACUGAUUUUUGAUGAAGUAGGUCACUGUGGGUUUGAGCUAUAAAUCAUUGUGAUGUAUUCAAGGUCUGGGGAAGUAUCAAGGUUGAAGACGAAUUGAUUUGUUAGCUUGGUUGUUGCCAGUGUUCUCUUCAAUCAUAUGCAGUGUUUUAAGGAAUAGCUAUUAAUUUUGGUUGGGUUCGAUGAUGGUGUUAAUGUACUUUCAAUGUCAGGACUGUUGAUAUGCUUGUUACCGAGAUUUGUUCUCCAUGAAUUGCUUUUGGUUUCGAGAUUUGUUCUCCAUGAAUUGCUUUUGGUUUCCUUAUUCUACCCGAGGUUGUGUCAUUAGGGAUGGCCUACACUAUAAAUUCAUAUUCUUAUUUUGAGUAGGUUUCAUAUGGUGAAUCCAAUUCUUUUCAUGUAUAAGAAGUGGGUCUUCUUUUUAAAGAGUAUCCAAGAUGAAGGCUUCUUUGUGAAUUACACUCUAUAGCAUUCCAAGAGGAGUUAUUAGUGUUGAAGCAAAUAUAUGUAAUUUCCCUUCUAACUUGUAUGCCCUAGAAUCCUACUAUAUAUUGGGGCAAUCCAUUAUUGUAAAUUGAUACUUGAUACUGAUACUGAUAUUGGGAUGAUUACAUUUUAUAAUACCCUAGUUUUCCCCCUUUCUAAUUUUGAAAUGAUGUUCCACGUAAAAAAGUUUCUCUAAUAUCUUCUCUUUUAUAUUUCGCAUUCCUAAAAACACUUUGAUGUAAAAAUCUUUUAGUUUAUUUUGUCAAUUAUCUCAUACUCAUGAUGGCACGUGUGCAGGAAAAAGCAAUAAAUCUAUUGUGUUAACAAUCACCGUUACUAUAUCUCUUGGAGGUGUCAUGGUACUUCUUUCUCUCAUUUGUUGCGUUCUUCAAAGAAAAGGAAAGAAGAUGUUUGAAGUCAUCAAAGGAAAAACUGGUAAAUUGAUUAUUUGCCUGUAUUUUCUCAUAAACUAUCUAUAUUAUAUAAAUUGAGCAUAUUAUAAAACUUCUUUAUUUUUUUAUAAGGAAUAUGAUUAUUAAUCAUACAAAUCAAAAAUACGUUUAAUAUAAAUGUAGCAUAUGUAACGGAAAGAUCAACGACAAUAUUCGAUAAUAGAAAGAUCCAGUUCUUCGUAAUCUUUCACCUUCAAACUAUACUUUAACUCCAUAAGCAUGUAUAAUGCCAUCAAGAGAAGGAGCAAUAUGGAAAUGUGACAGCUCAUUUCUGGCCUUCUAGAUGAAAUAGAUGCAGUGAUUCCACAAAAGUUUCAUCAACGACCUAUGAAAAUCUCUCCCUUUCAUAGCCUGGUGUGUCAGGACAAUUCAAACUCCCAACCACCAAUAUCUCUAGGAGGAAAACAAAGCUGAAGAGCACUCUUCCAGCCUUGCUAAGAGAAAUUGCACCCAAAGAACAUAUGGGAUCUAAUCUUAAUGCUUUCAAGACAAAAGAAGAAGAAGAAGAAGAAGAGAGUUUGGCCUUAAGGAGAAUAUUAUUUGUCAAUUCCUUAAUAUAUAGGCAGCUUAUGUUGUAUAGCCAACUAAAGUACGAAUCCACCUAAGGUAAAAGCUAGAUAUUGUGCCUUAAUCCCUGGCAAUCUCCCAAGCUGAAGUAGAGGAAAGAAUGUCAUUCAAAGUAGCAAAAAGAAGACUAGAGUUAUGCCAGAGUGAUAUAGCUUUACCAUUACGAACCACAUAAUAAGGCAUUAAAAUACUCCUAAUCUUUAAUGAUUCCCUCCAAGCACUGCAAUUAACCAACCCAAAACUGCCCUCAGCAUAAAGAAGAAAUCACGAUACAAGAUUCAUCUCAUUACUUUGUUUCCUAUCGUAUUGAUGAUUUUUUUUCUUUUUGCUUCACGACCAAUCAAGAGAGUAAAGAUUGCUUUAGGGUAGGGGAACACAACCAUGCCAAUCUAAUUUGGUGCCUUCAUUGGGAUAAUGUUUCCAAGCACUAGUAGCCUAAUAAACACCACAAGAGCCACUGUUGAUGUAGUGUGAUAAUUAAAUUGAGUUGCUGAGUAAUAUAGGUGCAAAGGAACUUACCACUGUGGAGUCGUUGCAAUUUGACUUGGCUACAAUACAAGCUGCGACAAAUUAUUUCUCUCAGGAAAAUAAGUUGGGGGAAGGUGGAUUUGGUGAAGUUUUCCAGGUAUUUAUGACAUAUCUAUUAGAAAUCAGAAUGUUUACAUGUGAAUGACGAAUUGAACAUAAUGAUGUCAAAGAAAAAGAAACACUUAAAGCUUUUUUUAUGUUGGUUUUAAAGUUGUUAUGAGGAAUUNNNNNNNNNNNNNNNNNNNNNNNNNNNNNNNNNNNNNNNNNNNNNNNNNNNNNNNNNNNNNNNNNNNNNNNNNNNNNNNNNNNNNNNNNNNNNNNNNNNNUCUCUUAGUGGAGCACCGUAGUUCAUAGACUUUUUUUUUUAUAAGAGUUUAGCGCAGCUCAUAGCAAAUUUAAAGACAAGUCUCACCAUCCCUCUACUCUCUUAAUGAUGGUACAAUGCACACUUACUACACAUCGAAGGAAAACAUAAGCCAGGCCACUUUUAUUUACAUCUUUAGGACGGUACAACAAAAAAACCAAGACUUUUAGCUAAACUUGGCAGCAGCUCAAAAAGAGAUCUCGACCCCUAUAUCAAUCAUGUAUAACCCUCCAUCUACAAGUGUCGGCUAUCCCAAAAAGUCAGCUCCAUCUCCUUACGCGGGCCAUCACACCCAUCCAGGUGCAUCAAGCGGUGGUGGCGGCAACAUCCCCCGCAUCACUCCGUCAUGGUGGACGUGAAUAGAAAAGAACUCCUGGACAACUGGGCCCCCAACUAGGCCCACAUCAUAUAUAACCAUCACCUGAACCCGUGUGAACGUCAAACCAAGGAUGGUGACACUAUCAAGCUCCAUACAAUCGACCUCCACGUCCGAUGGAAGGCCGUAAAAGGUACCCCGCGUGACUGGAGCGAGAGGCAUUUGUCUAAUCUGAAAUGUUGGUCCCCAAAGGAGUGAGUACAACCACUCAGUAGGUAAAUGAUCUAUUAAACUACUCAAUGCAUCAAACAGAACAAUCAUAACAUCAUAGUAGAGUACAUAUCAUUCAUGCAUAUACCAUUCUGCCAUAGGUGCAUAUACAACCAUGUACUCAUCAUCAAGCAUUUAUGCAUAUCCAUGCCUUAUGUGCACAUACCACCAUGCACUCAUCAUAUAAUAUCAUACGGCCAUGCAUGCAUAUCAACAUACCAUGCAUGAUUCAAUUUCCGCUUUUUAUCUUUCAAUUGGGUCACCACAUUUUUCUUUCCCUGGACCAGUAAUUUGCAUCCCACAUUUUAUCGCUCACACCCAACCUGGUGUCACGAGGAACCUCCGGCACACACCUCUGGGCAUCCGGCACACACCUCCGAGCAUCCCAAAACUCCUGAGGACAUCCGGCACACACACUCCGGGCAUCCGGCACCCAUCUCCGGGCAUCUCGACACUCCCUGGGCAUCGUCAGCUCACACCUCCAACGGUAUCCUCAUUUAUCAUAAUUCAUAACCACAUUUGUGUCCCAAUAUCAACAUGGCACAUGAUGUAAUGGCAAUAAGGUCAAUUUCAGCUUUUGAAAUUCGCACAAUCCAGCUUGCACAGUUUUAGAAAACAUUUUCAUUAAAUACCCAAAUGACAUUAAACAAUUAUGAAAUUCAAACAUGUGAUAGUCAAUACAUAAGAGCAGAUACUUCAUGAAGAACACUACACCAAAUGAUUCCCAUAUAGCUCAAUACAGAACACGCAUCACAGCACUACUAAUUCUGUCCAUUCCAAUUGCACAGUUUUUGAAACAUUUUUGGUUAAAUAUGAAAAUGAAUUAAAAAAAUUAUGAAAUUCAACUAUGUGAUAGCCAAGACCAUAAGGUACAUACCUAAUGCAGACAUCAAAGUUAGAUUCGCCCUAUAUAAUGAAAUACAAGCGGUUGAAAAUUCUGUUCCCAGUACCGAAAUUUCCAGAUAUAACCAUCUCCGAAAGACCACGAUUUCACCUACCUAUUCUUAUUUUUUUUCUCUAAAUUUUUGAUAUGUUAAACCUCAGGAUAUCCUUUACAUAUUUUGUUAAGAAAUAGAAAUUAAAUUUCAACAAAAAGAUAGCCUUACAGUCCAUGCAUUCAUCAAAGGUAGUUACCGAAAUCUCCAGACCCAGUCUCUCCAAAGAAUAAAGAUUUCACACACUUAUACUUGUUUUUUUAUCCCAUAUUUGAGUAUGUUAUACUCCAAGAAGUCCUUAACAAGUUUCAUUAAGAAGUCAAAGCCAAAAUCCAACUCGAAAUCACAUGCAAGCCACUAGAACAUCCAAGGUCGAGCUGUUUUCUCAAGAACAGUUUACUAUUCUAGAACACUACUCUUAAAACUUCAAUUUUUCACAUCCUAAACAUCCGAUAUUUGUCACCAUUAAAUCACAUACACUAGGCACAACAUGCAAGAGUAGAUCAAGGAUCCCACUUGCCUCUAAACUGAGCAAGCAGCGCACAACAGCGAUGGGACACGGCAGCGACGGACGGCGAACGCACAGCCCUUCCUCCUUCCUUCUUCUCUUCUUCCUUUCUUCCUUUCUCUCCUCUCUUUCUCUCUCGGACGAACCCUUCUCUCUCCCUCUCUUUCUCGCUUAAGCCAGCCAUCAUUUCCCCUAAUUUUCUUCCCCUCCAUCAUUAGCCAUCAUUGGAUCAUGCAUGGAGGACACUUGGCAAUUUCCUUGGGACAAAUGGGGAGGGCAUGCAACCGGAUCCCCCCCCCCCUCCUUUGCACGUCGACAGCCCCUCAUGGGCUUGGGCUAGCCAUGGGCCAGGCGACUUCUCCCUCUCCUUGGGUUUCGUGGGCUGGCCAAAAGAAUGGGGGUGAGGCUAUAGGCUGGUUUGGCCUUUAAAUGUCCAGCCCACCCUCAUCCUAAUAAUCCACCUAAUCCUUAAUUAUAUAAACACCUAAUUGGAAUUUAUAAUUCACAAAACUUUGUGACCUAAUUUAAUAAAUUCCAAUCCAUAAUUCACAUGGCCAAAAAUAGAAUUUUCCUAUCAAAUAAUUACCCACCAAUAGCUUGGCCAAAAAUCUCAAUGCAAGACAUGAAUUAGAGCACCUCUGAGAAUUGACAAGAAAUUCUAGGAUGCCUCUCUCUCUCUCUCUCUCUCUCUCUCUCUCUCUCUCUCUCUCAUCCUUGACUUAUUCUUUCCAAGUCUCGACUUGACAUUGAGGACGAAACAGUCCAAAGUCACUCAACACCAUUCAACUUUCGGGAACCCACGGCAACGUUACUAGAAUUGCGUCAAAUUCAAUCUAUGACCAUCAAUGUUGACACUCGUGAACAAAAUUAUUUAGUAAACUUAACGUGUCUAUACAUAUAUAUGAAUUCGGACAUUAGAUUCGAUAACUCCCUUGUGAGUGCACCCUUUACGUAAUGAAAUAUAUGUAUAUUAUAUUUACAUGUUAAUUUCUUUGCUAGACUUCUAGAAUGGCAAAUGAAGGUAAGAAUAAAUGGAGGAGGUAAACAGUGUUUUAUGGAUAAGAUAUGUAAGAGGUGCCUUUUGAAUAAAUGAAACAAUUUAGACUACGAUUUUUUUUUUUUUUUUGGUUAGAAGGAAAUUACAAGAUUAAACAUGCCCAAUUAAAAAUGCAAUCAAGUUUGGUGUCCUCAUAGAGACAAAAUCAUGAGAGUUAGUAUAUGAUAGAUUAAUUAGGGUAAUAUCUCGAGUAAAUUAGGUGAGAUUAUUACCCAGUCAAUUCCAUUUUCUCUCCUAAAUAAAUAGGCAUAACUCAAGUGAAACGUUUCGGAGGGGUUGGAUUUUUCCAUUCACAGUCGCAUGAACUUAUGCGAACCGAAAUUUUGAAGGAAAAUUCAAAACUAUAAGCACUACCAAAAUCCCUUUCGUCCCAUCUCUCUCUCUCUCUCCAACGACAUCACUGGCGUACAUGUUUUGACUUUUCCUCUUCGUGUCUCCACGUGGAGCCAAAUCGGAACGCUAAUCACGCAAUUGACUUUGGUCAACGACCUCGUACGACGGCAAAUGCUGUCUUCCAUCCUUACCGUCCAUCCAUUCCACUGCCCACCUAACUAACCCCACCUCCUGUCGCUUUAACAUCUUGACUUCGGUCAAACGACGUCACACCGGUUAGUCUUGAAUCGUCAAAUACCCCAUUUGACCGAGCCAAAAAUUAUAUAAUUUAACAGCCUUUCACGAUUUUAGAUAUCAAUUUAUAUGUUCUAGAACUCCUAAAUAUGUCGUGAGGAAUAAUAUUUCAAAUUUAUAAUGCUCGACUUAUGAGCUCAUUUCAAUCUAGAUGGUGACUCUGUAUUAAUUUAAGAACAUGAUAGUUGGAUAUAAUUCAUACUUUCCAUCGAUAAAAAGACAUAGGGUCCUGCUCUAUGGCGAGUGGACAAAAGUUUGGGGGCCAUCUUGACAGAGGUUGUAGGGGCCGACACUAGAGGAUUUUUUUUGGGACCCAUAUUUUAUUGAUUGUUUGAACUUAAAUUUUUAAAUAGUUAUUUAAUAUAUAUAAUCUCAUUCUAUUAUAAUCGAGAGUUAUACUGGAAGAAAUAGUCUCAAUUUAAAGGUAAAUCAGGAUAAAUUUUAUGUCUUGAUUUCUCUCACAUAUACUCUCUAUUUCAUUGCGCUUAAUCCUAACACAUGAAAAUGACAGUUUUCCAGACUUGGUACCGUUCAUGCUGCAGUUACUCAUCCUAAGAAUUGAUUCUCCUCCUUCCAACGAUCUUCUGCCCGUUCUCCUGCCGCAAGCCCAAUCAAUUCACCAACUCUAGCAAAUCAUGAAUUCUUGCUACAUCAUCUCCCUCUCCCUCUCUUCCUCCUUCUUCUUCCUCGUCUUCGUCCAGAAUUUCGGUACUGCAGCUGCCGCCACUUAUCUCAAUCUUUCUUGCCCACACAGUAGUCUCUUCACUCCCAACUCCGCCUACGAUUCCAACCUCAACACCCUCCUCUCUACCCUCUCCUCUGCCGCCACCAACAGCACCAACGGCUUUGCCAACACCACCACCGGCCAGAACCCUCCCGACCGAGCCUAUGGGCUCUUUCUCUGCCGUGGCGACGUCAACACCUCCACGUGCAACGACUGCGUGGCCACUGCAAAACGUGGUAUCCGCCGAAGAUGCCCGAACCAGCGAUUCGCCGUGAUCUGGUAUGACGAGUGCAUGUUGCGGUACGACAACAGGUCCAUCUUCUCGGCCAUGGAUCUGAGGCCU
rnacentral:lncRNA from 1 species